rnacentral:rRNA from 1 species
AAAUUGAAGAGUUUGAUCAUGGCUCAGAUUGAACGCUGGCGGCAGGCCUAACACAUGCAAGUCGAACGGUAACAGGAAGCAGCUUGCUGCUUCGCUGACGAGUGGCGGACGGGUGAGUAAUGUCUGGGAAACUGCCUGAUGGAGGGGGAUAACUACUGGAAACGGUAGCUAAUACCGCAUAACGUCGCAAGACCAAAGAGGGGGACCUUCGGGCCUCUUGCCAUCGGAUGUGCCCAGAUGGGAUUAGCUAGUAGGUGGGGUAACGGCUCACCUAGGCGACGAUCCCUAGCUGGUCUGAGAGGAUGACCAGCCACACUGGAACUGAGACACGGUCCAGACUCCUACGGGAGGCAGCAGUGGGGGAAUAUUGCACAAUGGGCGCAAGCCUGAUGCAGCCAUGCCGCGUGUAUGAAGAAGGCCUUCGGGUUGUAAAGUACUUUCAGCGGGGAGGAAGGGAGUAAAGUUAAUACCUUUGCUCAUUGACGUUACCCGCAGAAGAAGCACCGGCUAACUCCGUGCCAGCAGCCGCGGUAAUACGGAGGGUGCAAGCGUUAAUCGGAAUUACUGGGCGUAAAGCGCACGCAGGCGGUUUGUUAAGUCAGAUGUGAAAUCCCCGGGCUCAACUCGGGAACUGCAUCUGAUACUGGCAAGCUUGAGUCUCGUAGAGGGGGGUAGAAUUCCCGGGUGUAGCGGUGAAAUGCGUAGAGAUCUGGAGGAAUACCGGUGGCGAAGGCGGCCCCCUGGACGAAGACUGACGCUCAGGUGCGAAAGCGUGGGGAGCAAACAGGAUUAGAUACCCUGGUAGUCCACGCCGUAAACGAUGUCGACUUGGAGGUUGUGCCCUUGAGGCGUGGCUUCCGGAGCUAACGCGUUAAGUCGACCGCCUGGGGAGUACGGCCGCAAGGUUAAAACUCAAAUGAAUUGACGGGGGCCCGCACAAGCGGUGGAGCAUGUGGUUUAAUUCGAUGCAACGCGAAGAACCUUACCUGGUCUUGACAUCCACGGAAGUUUUCAGAGAUGAGAAUGUGCCUUCGGGAACCGUGAGACAGGUGCUGCAUGGCUGUCGUCAGCUCGUGUUGUGAAAUGUUGGGUUAAGUCCCGCAACGAGCGCAACCCUUAUCCUUUGUUGCCAGCGGUCCGGCCGGGAACUCAAAGGAGACUGCCAGUGAUAAACUGGAGGAAGGUGGGGAUGACGUCAAGUCAUCAUGGCCCUUACGACCAGGGCUACACACGUGCUACAAUGGCGCAUACAAAGAGAAGCGACCUCGCAAGAGCAAGCGGACCUCAUAAAGUGCGUCGUAGUCCGGAUUGGAGUCUGCAACUCGACUCCAUGAAGUCGGAAUCGCUAGUAAUCGUGGAUCAGAAUGCCACGGUGAAUACGUUCCCGGGCCUUGUACACACCGCCCGUCACACCAUGGGAGUGGGUUGCAAAAGAAGUAGGUAGCUUAACCUUCGGGAGGGCGCUUACCACUUUGUGAUUCAUGACUGGGGUGAAGUCGUAACAAGGUAACCGUAGGGGAACCUGCGGUUGGAUCACCUCCUUA